AGACAACUAGGAUGUUGGCUUAGAAGCAGCCAUACAUUUAAAGAGUGCGUAAUAGCUCACUAGUCGAGAAAACCUGCGCCGAAAAUGUAACGGGGCUAAAACACGACACCGAAGCUACGGAUUCCUUACAAAGUAAGGAGUGGUAGAGGAGCAUCCUGCAAGGACGAAGCCAAAGUGAGAGCGAUGGUGGACGAAACAGGAGAGAGAAUGCCGGAAUGAGUAGCGAGAUACAUGUGAGAAACAUGUAGGCCGAAUAUCUAAGGAUUCCUGGGUAAAGCUAAUCUUCCCAGGGUUAGUCGGGGCCUAAGGCGAGGACGAAAGUCGUAGUCGAUGGAUAACAGGUUGAUAUUCCUGUACUACACAUAAUCAGAACUGUGGGGACGCAGAAGGAUAGGGAAACCGGGGAAUGGAAAGACCCGGUCAAGCGUAAAGCUGUGGGAGAUAGGCAAAUCCGUCUUCUGUAAGUGAAACGUGAUGAGGACUGAAAAAAAGUAAGGAAGUUUCCGAAUCCACACUGCCGAGAAAAGCCGCUAUUGCGUUAUGUGUACCCGUACCGUAAACCGACACAGGUAGAUGAGGAGAAAAUCCACAGGCCGACGGGAGAAGUGUUGUUAAGGAACUCGGCAAAAUGACCCCGUAACUUCGGGAUAAGGGGAGCCUCGCAAGAGGCCGCAGAAAAGAGGCACAAGCAACUGUUUAGCAAAAACAUAGGUCUAUGCGAAACCGUAAGGUGAAGUAUAUGGGCUGACGCCUGCCCGGUGCUGGAAGGUUAAAAGGAGAGGUCAGCGCAAGCGAAGCUUUGAAUUCAAGCCCCAGUAAACGGCGGCCGUAACUAUAACGGUCCUAAGGUAGCGAAAUUCCUUGUCAGGUAAGUUCUGACCCGCACGAAAGGCGUAAUGAUUUGUGCACUGUCUCGACAACACGCCCGGUGAAAUUGAAGAACCAGUGAAGAUACUGGUUACCCGCAACAGGACGGAAAGACCCCAUGGAGCUUUACUGCAGCCUGAUACUGGGAUUCGAUGAUAUAUGUACAGGAUAGGUGGGAGGCUAAGAAGCGAGAACGCUAGUUUUCGUGGAGCCGCCGGUGGGAUACCACUCUUAUGUCAUUGAAUUUCUAACCUGCAUCCGUAAUCCGGGUGAGGGACAAUGUCAGGCGGGCAGUUUGACUGGGGCGGUCGCCUCCUAAAAGGUAACGGAGGCGCUCGAAGGUCACCUCAGAAUGAUUGGAAACCAUUCAAAGAGUGUAAAGGCAAAAGGUGGCUUGACUGCGAGAGCGACGGCUCGAGCAGGUACGAAAGUAGGACUUAGUGAUCCGGUGGUAAUAAGUGGGAAUGCCAUCGCUCAACGGAUAAAAGCUACCCUGGGGAUAACAGGCUUAUCUCCCCCAAGAGUUCACAUCGACGGGGAGGUUUGGCACCUCGAUGUCGGCUCAUCGCAUCCUGGGGCUGAAGUAGGUCCCAAGGGUUGGGCUGUUCGCCCAUUAAAGCGGUACGCGAGCUGGGUUCAGAACGUCGUGAGACAGUUCGGUCCCUAUCCGUUGUGGGCGCAGGAAAUUUGAGAGGAGCUGUCCUUAGUACGAGAGGACCGGGAUGGACGUACCUCUGGUGUACCGGUUGCAGACCAACUGCACAGCCGGGUAGCUAUGUAUGGAACGGAUAAACGCUGAAGGCAUCUAAGCGUGAAGCCGCCCUCAAGAUAAGAUUUCCCAUUCUUCGGAAGUAAGAUCCCUUAAAGAUAAUGAGGUUGAUAGGUUGGAGGUGUAAGCAUGGUAACAUGUUCAGCUGACCAAUACUAAUAGAUCGAGGGCUUGACCAA
rnacentral:rRNA from 1 species